rnacentral:rRNA from 1 species
GACGAACGCUGGCGGCGUGCCUAAUACAUGCCAGUAGAACGCUGAAGGAGGAGCUUGCUUCUCUGGAUGAGUUGCGAACGGGUGAGUAACGCGUAGGUAACCUGCCUGGUAGCGGGGGAUAACUAUUGGAAACGAUAGCUAAUACCGCAUAAGAGUAGAUGUUGCAUGACAUUUGCUUAAAAGUUGCAAUUGCAUCACUACCAGAUGGACCUGCGUUGUAUUAGCUAGUUGGUGGGGUAACGGCUCACCAAGGCGACGAUACAUAGCCGACCUGAGAGGGGGAUCGGCCACACUGAGACGGAGACACGGCCCAGACUCCUACGGGAGGCAGCAGUAGGGAUUCUUCGGCAAUGGACGGAAGUCUGACCGAGCAACGCCGCGUGAGUGAAGAAGGUUUUCGGAUCGUAAAGCUCGGUUGUAAGAGAAGAACGAGUGUGAGAGUGGAAAGUUCACACUGUGACGGUAUCUUACCAGAAAGGGACGGCUAACUACGUG